GACGAACGCUGGCGGCGUGCCUAAUACAUGCAAGUCGAGCGCAGGAAACUGACGGAACUCUCCGGAGGGAAGGCAGUGGAAUGAGCGGCGGACGGGUGAGUAACACGUAAGGAACCUGCCUCAAGGAUUGGGAUAACUCCGAGAAAUCGGAGCUAAUACCGGAUAGUUCAACGGACCGCAUGGUCCGCUGAUGAAAGGCGCUCCGGCGUCACCUUGAGAUGGCCUUGCGGUGCAUUAGCUAGUUGGUGGGGUAACGGCCCACCAAGGCGACGAUGCAUAGCGGACCUGAGAGGGUAAGCGGCCACACUGGGACAGAGACACGGCCCAGACUCCUACGGGAGGCAGCAGUAGGGAAUGUUCCACAAUGGACGAAAGGCUGAUGGAGCGACGCCGCGUGAGUGAUGAAGGUUUUCGGAUCGUAAAACUCUGUUGUAAGGGAAGAACACGUACGAGAGGGAAUGCUCGUACCUUGACGGUACCUUACGAGAAAGCCACGGCUAACUACGUGCCAGCCGCCGCCGUAAUAC
rnacentral:rRNA from 1 species